rnacentral:rRNA from 1 species
AGUGAACGCUGGCGGUAGGCCUAAUACAUGCAAGUCGAACGGCCGCACAGUAAGAGUGUGCUUCUACGGGUGGCGAGUGGCGGACGGGUGAGGAAUACAUCGGAUUCUACUUAUUCGUGGGGGAUUACGGGGGGAAAGUGAUGCUAAUACAGCAUAUGAUGUACGGGUGGAUGCAGAGGUGCUAGGGAGUCUGCGCGACUGAUUGAGAUGAAGUCGGAUUAGCUAGUUGGCGGGGUAAAGGCACACCAAGGCGACGAUACGUAGCAGGUCUGAGAGGAUGAUCAGCCACACUGGAACUGAGACACGGUCCAGACUCCUACGGGAGGCAGCAGUAGGGAAUCUUCGGCAAUGGGCGCAAGCCUGACCCAGCCAUGCCGCGUGGGUGAAGAAGGCCUUCGGGUUGUAAAGCCCUUUUGUUAGGAAAGAAAAUCAGCAGAUUAAUCCCCCGCUAUUCUGACGGUACCUAAAGAAUAAGCACCGGCUAACUACGUG